rnacentral:rRNA from 1 species
UACAGAGGUCUCAAGCGUUGUUCGGAUUCAUUGGGCGUAAAGGGUGCGUAGGCGGCGCGGUAAGUCGGGUGUGAAACCUCGGAGCUUAACUCCGAAACUGCAUUCGAUACUGCCGUGCUUGAGGACUGGAGAGGAGACUGGAAUUUACGGUGUAGCGGUGAAAUGCGUAGAUAUCGUAAGGAAGACCAGUGGCGAAGGCGGGUCUCUGGACAGUUCCUGACGCUGAGGCACGAAGGCCAGGGGAGCAAACGGG